CGACCUCUGAUCGGAAAAGAUCACCCGCUGAGUUUAAGCAUAUCACUAAGCGGAGGAAAAGAAACUAACGAGGA
rnacentral:rRNA from 1 species